UCCCAAUAUAGAGGCUGGCCUUCACCUGGGCUCUGAAGAUGAAGCUGAGAGGCCAGAGGUGGUUCUGGGUCUGUUUUGCAUGGGGAGGUCUCAGCCCCUGCACAAGGCUGUCCUGACAUAUAAAUACCUCUCUAUCCCCGUCUGCCUCAUUCUGGGCUCAGAGCUCUCUGCCUGCAGCUCUACAGAGGACACAAUGAUGUCCCCAUCCCAGCUCCUCUGCCUCCUGGUGCUCUGGGCUCAGGAGUCCAGGACAGCCAUUGUGAUGACCCAGACUCCAGCCUCCCUGUCUGUGGCUCUGGGAGAGACACUCACCAUCAGCUGCAGGGCCAGUGAGGACAUUAGUGAGAAUUUAGCCUGGUACCAGCAGCCUCCAGGAAAACCUCCCAAACCUCUUAUCUAUGCUGCUGAUGAGCUGGAGUCUGGGGUCCCUGCCCGCUUCAGGGGCAGGGGGUCUGGGACAGAUUUUACUCUCACAAUCUGCAGUGUGGAGGCUGAGGAUGGUGCACAUUACUUUUGUCAGCAAGGUUCUCCCACAGUGAUGGAGGCCUGA